UACAGAGGGUGCGAGCGUUAAUCGGAAUUACUGGGCGUAAAGCGCGCGUAGGCGGCUUUGCAAGUCGAGUGUGAAAGCCCCCGGCUCAACUGGGGAGGGUCACUCGAUACUGAUCGACUUGAAGGCAGGAGAGGGAAGCGGAAUUCCCGGUGUAGUGGUGAAAUGCGUAGAUAUCGGGAGGAACACCAGUGGCGAAGGCGGCUUCCUGGCCUGUUCUUGACGCUGAGGC
rnacentral:rRNA from 1 species